GGGCCCUUAGCUCAGUCGGUUAGAGCAGGUGACUCAUAAUCACUUGGUCGAAGGUUCAAGUCCUUCAGGGCCCACCA
rnacentral:tRNA from 1 species